rnacentral:rRNA from 1 species
GCGGCAAAAGCUCAAAUUUGAAAUCUGGCGCCUUCGGUGUCCGAGUUGUAAUUUGAAGAUUGUAACCUUGGGGUUGGCUCUUGUCUAUGUUUCUUGGAACAGGACGUCACAGAGGGUGAGAAUCCCGUGCGAUGAGAUGCCCAAUUCUAUGUAAGGUGCUUUCGAAGAGUCGAGUUGUUUGGGAAUGCAGCUCUAAGUGGGUGGUAAAUUCCAUCUAAAGCUAAAUAUUGGCGAGAGACCGAUAGCGAACAAGUACAGUGAUGGAAAGAUGAAAAGAACUUUGAAAAGAGAGUGAAAAAGUACGUGAAAUUGUUGAAAGGGAAGGGUUUGAGAUCAGACUCGAUAUUUUGUGAGCCUUGCCUUCGUGGCGGGGUGACCCGCAGCUUAUCGGGCCAGCAUCGGUUUGGGCGGUAGGAUAAUGGCGUAGGAAUGUGACUUUACUUCGGUGAAGUGUUAUAGCCUGCGUUGAUGCUGCCUGCCUAGACCGAGGACUGCGAU